rnacentral:rRNA from 1 species
GGGCCCGCACAAGCGGUGGAGCAUGUGGUUUAAUUCGACGCAACGCGAAGAACCUUACCAAGGCUUGACAUGGAAGCGACCGGUCUGGAGACAGGCCCUCCCUUCGGGGCGCUUCACACAGGUGGUGCAUGGUUGUCGUCAGCUCGUGUCGUGAGAUGUUGGGUUCAGUCCCGCAACGAGCGCAACCCUUAUAUUCAGUAGCCAGCGGGUAACGCCGGGCACUCUGGAUAGACUGCCGUGGGUAACACGGAGGAAGGCGGGGAUGAGGUCAAAUCAUCAUGCCCCUUACGUCUUGGGCUACACACGUGCUACAAUGGCUGCAACAGAGCGAGGCGAAGGCGCGAGCCGGAGCAAAGCGCAAAAAAGCAGUCCCAGUUCGGAUUGCAGUCUGCAACUCGACUGCAUGAAGUUGGAAUCGCUAGUAAUCGCGGAUCAGCAUGCCG